rnacentral:lncRNA from 1 species
UGGAGCCAGUCUUCCCAAGGUGAAAUCCUAACUUUGCCACUUACUAGCCAUGUGAACUUGGGCAAGUGACCUAAUCCUCUGCAUUUCAUCUCUAAAUUGGGGAGAAUAGAAGCAUCUACUUCAUGUAGUAGCCAGGAUUAGAAGAGGUUCUUGGAGCCCCACUGUAGAAAGACUGCUGAUAUCCCAGAAUUCCAAGGUGGAUGUGCAGAUGAGAUUUCCAGUGACACCCAGCAGACUUCACGCAGAAGGUGGCAUAGUGUAGAGACGGGGCAUUCAUGCUUUACCCUUAGAGAGGCGUUGCUUUGAAUCUGCAUCUGCCCCUUCUUUUGCCUUUGCCCCUACAGAUUCAGGACCACGGCCAGCACCCACACUGCCUUCCGUAAACACUGAGCUAAAUAAACCUAGAGCCUUGGUGAUGAGAUCAGCACUGCCUUUGUAAGUUGGUUUUCUCAACAAACAUCAACUGAACAUCUACUAAACGUAAGAGCACUCUGGCUGUCAACUGAAAACAGCAGCAGCAGCAGCAGCAGCAGCAACACCACCACCAACAACAACGACAACUGUUGCAUAUAUAACUGAAGAUCCACAGAGUCCCUCUUUCCAGUGUUAGUUGCUACAAGGAGUGAGAGAAUGAAGAUCUGACCUCAAGGAAUACAAGAGUUUUGUUCAAAGUUCCAAGACUAAGCUAUUAGAAGGGAGGGAGGGCCUGGUGCCAUGUCAUCUCUGACCAAGAGAAUUGGUAGAAUAGAAAUAAUCUAUUUCUCACGUGGUCUAGGACUUGACAAUUUACAUAGCAGUUUUAUAUCCUCUACUUCAUUUGACAUGCUCCCAUCACCCUGUGAAGCAUGUGUCAUUGUUACCACUCACUUUCCAGAUAAGGAGAGAUGGGGAGGCUCAGGGAGGUGAAUGGAUUUGCCUGAGGCCACUGGUCAGUGACUGAGCUGGGAUAGGAAUUACUUUCUCUGGUCUCUUGAUCUCACCUCUUUGUCUCACUCUUUCUGCUGCAUCUCAGUUGCUUCUGCGUCUGGCCAGACCCAAAAACAAAUCAUGUAAUUGAGUUGGAAUGUGGGUGCUGGGGCCCGGGAGACAAUGUUUUCUGCUUUUCAAUCUGUUCUUAAUUUAUUAAAGUGAUGAAAUAAGGAAGAGGCCCAGAAGGGUGGAUGUUUUCCAUCAGUGAGUCAGGGGAACAUGCAGAGGCAGAAGGUCAGGAGGAAGCUGCUGUUGCUCCAGCAGCUUCACCCACUCUGGCCAAGUCCCCACAGAUGUGCUGGUGGGGGAGACCUUCUUAGAGCUGCCCCAAGAGUAAAAUAAACCAGAAAAGAGCAAGCCCUACUGGAGACUCUCUCCCUCCCCACAAUGUUAUCUCUGACUACCCGAGCACCUUCCCUCUUAUCUGACAAAUGUCCAUUGUCUAAGGGAGAGACCGAGUGAAGGCAGGAGGAGGCCUAAUUCAGCCUGAGGAGGGUCAGGAAAGGCUUUCUAGAGAAGGUGACACUGGCACCUUAGACUUGAAAGCUGAAAAGAAGUGAUCUGGGAAAGGGGGAUGAGGAGGAGAAAGUGUUUUCCAGGUGGAGGAAAUAGCAGGUGGGAGGUUUGGAGAUAAGAGAGGGAAUGGCUGGAGCCAUCAGGGUGGAGAGAUGAGGCUGGACCGGCAGAGGGGUUGGCAGUGCUGGUAUCCAGAGGGCCUUCCAGGUCAGGUUGUUAUAUCUCCUCUGAGGAAGAGUCCUGAUUGUUAGCUCAAUUUAUGUGGUUAGGCAUAGAGAAUGGAUUGCAGGAGACAGUGGCAACCCAAGGCAAGUAAUAAAAAGGCUAGAGAGUUGGUGGGGCCUGAGUAGGGGGCAGUGGGAAUAGGGAUCAAGAGACAGAGAGGUGGAGG